UAUUCUGCCCCAUGGGGAAGGAUGAGAAGCUUCGACUAAGGUUCGACUCGAGCGCCAGCGAGAGAACGUUGCCGCAGGCAACGGCCCGAAGGGCGAGGAGAGAUAGCGACGAGUUAUCCUUC
rnacentral:sRNA from 1 species